rnacentral:lncRNA from 1 species
UAAACAUUUGCAUUCCUGGUCCUAUUUAUGAUCCUACAAGGGCUAUCUCUAUGAGCUAAACAAUUAUAGCAGAGGACACAAUCAAAUUCAGAGGUUAGAGCCUGAUGAGCAAUGUUAUGAGAGCUUGUUGUUGAUCUGCCUAUUUUCUGCGAAAUUGGGACGUGAUGGAUGGUCCUUGUGAGGUUCUCCAAGAAUUUGAUUCCUCAUUUUUCUGUUCUGGUAGUAUGAUGGAUUUUGAUUAGUUAAGAACCUGCAGUUUCUUCGGUAAGUUGGGAUUAAGAGUUCCUCAUAGGAAUAGGAUCCCUACCAGGGUGAGGUCUCAGGUUAUAUGGGUGGAAGAGAG